rnacentral:rRNA from 1 species
CACGAUAGGUCAUGAUUUCUGGAAUGAUUCAUGGCUCAAACCUACAUGGCCCCUGGAUUGGACUGCGGCCGAUCAGGCUGUUGGUGAGGUAAUGGCCCACCAAACCUGUCACCGGUACGGGCUCUGAGAGGAGGAGCCCGGAGAUGGGCACUGAGACAAGGGCCCAGGCCCUAUGGGGCGCAGCAGGCGCGAAACCUCUGCAAUAGGCGAAAGCCUGACAGGGUUACUCUGAGUGAUUUCCGCUAAGGGAAUCUUUUGGCACCUCUAAAAAUGGUGCAGAAUAAGGGGUGGGCAAGUCUGGUGUCAGCCGCCGCGGUAAUACCAGCACCCCGAGUGGUCGGGACGAUUAUUGGGCCUAAAGCAUCCGUAGCCGGUCCUACAAGUCUUCCGUUAAAUCCAGCUGCUUAACAGAUGGGCCGCGGGAGAUACUACAGGGCUAGGAGGCGGGAGAGGCAAGCGGUACUUUAUGGGUAGGGGUAAAAUCCGCUGAUCCAUAGAAGACCACCAGUGGCGAAGGCGGCUUGCCAGAACGCACUCGACGGUGAGGGAUGAAAGCUGGGGGAGCAAACCGGAUUAGAUACCCGGGUAGUCCCAGCUGUAAACGAUGCAGACUCGGUG